rnacentral:rRNA from 1 species
GAUGAACGCUGGCGGCGUGCCUAAUACAUGCAAGUCGAGCGAACAGACGAGGAGCUUGCUCCUCUGACGUUAGCGGCGGACGGGUGAGUAACACGUGGAUAACCUACCUAUAAGACUGGGAUAACUUCGGGAAACCGGCGCUAAUACCGGAUAAUAUAUUGAACCGCAUGGGUCAAUAGUGAAAGACGGUUUUGCUGUCACUUAUAGAUGGAUCCGCGCCGCAUUAGCUAGUUGGUAAGGUAACGGGUUACGAAGGCGACGAGGCGUAGCCGACCUGAGAGGGUGAUCGGCCACACUGGAACGUAGACACGGUCCAGACUCCUACGGGAGGCAGCAGUAGGGAAUCUUACGCAAUGGGCGAAAGCCUGACGGAGCAACGCCGCGUGAGUGAUGAAGGUCUUCGGAUCGUAAAACUCUGUUAUUAGGUAAGAACAAAUUUGUAAGUAACUAUGCACGUCUUGACGGUACCUAAUCAGAAAGCCACGGCUAACUACGUG